rnacentral:rRNA from 1 species
UACGUAGGGGGCAAGCGUUGUCCGGAAUUAUUGGGCGUAAAGCGCGCGCAGGCGGUCCUUUAAGUCUGGUGUUUAAGCCCGGGGCUCAACCCCGGUUCGCAUCGGAAACUGGAAGACUUGAGUGCAGGAGAGGAAAGUGGAAUUCCACGUGUAGCGGUGAAAUGCGUAGAGAUGUGGAGGAACACCAGUGGCGAAGGCGACUUUCUGGACUGUAACUGACGCUGAGGCGCGAAAGCGUGGGGAGCAAACAGG